CAGAUAUUAGUUUAUUAAAAAUAUUAAUUUUGGAGAUUAGUGAUAUAAAAUUUUUAUAUAUCUGA
rnacentral:tRNA from 1 species